AGACCAGACAGUGUCAUACCAUCCCCUAGAUGAACACGAUGUGGAGUGGCAGGAGUCUCAGUUGCAUGUGACUGCUCCAUUGUCAUUUUACUAAAAUCUUUCUCAGCAUCUGCCAAACUCGCACUCAAACCUCUGCUCCCCCAGGGGUCUUGGGUAUGCGUCUUGGUGGUUACCGAAGGAGGAAAAACUAAAUGAGGGGAGUCAAGUUGAAAGUGAAAAGUGAGAGGUGGCCCCUGAGAUAAUUUUAGCAGCGAGUUGCCUCCCUGCUUCAAGUUAACACCGACUGGAGACAAAUCUCAAAGCCAAAUGUCACAACGUGUCCAGAGCCAGAGAAAUAUCCACACCAAACGUUUACACCACAUUCGAUGGGCUUUUCAGUUGUCACUCAAAAUAUUGAAUACGUGUCCAAAAGUCAAUUGGUCAUGAUCUCGAUUUUUUCACACGAUUUGCAGUAUCAAAACUAGAGAAUCACCCGAGACAACCGGAAAAUUCAACGACUGACAGCACCCGUAAUAAUACUGAUAAGACAAGUGGGGGGAGGACAUUCUGGUGACUGUCACGUAGAAAACCGAGUAGAUUGAGGCAUUUGCUACAUUCGUAAGGGAAUAACAGAGGGUUUUUUUUAUUUUUAAAAUUUUUUUCAUGACGUGAUUGCUGAUAUUGAAUGCUUACUCUGAGGUGAUCAGAAACUUUGUCCGGAAAUUGUGAAGUCGUCCUAAAGACGGUAUUUUUUUUAACGAGGCGAAGAUAUUUUUUUACGACAAGAACGUAAUUUGUCAAAGCAACUUCAGUUAAAUUAAUAAAUUCCAAAGUUUUUAACCUCAAA